rnacentral:rRNA from 1 species
AACGAACGCUGGCGGCAUGCCUAACACAUGCAAGUCGAACGAGACCUUCGGGUCUAGUGGCGCACGGGUGCGUAACGCGUGGGAACCUGCCCUUAGGUUCGGAAUAACUCCCCGAAAGGGGUGCUAAUACCGGAUAAUGUCUUCGGACCAAAGAUUUAUCGCCUUUGGAUGGGCCCGCGUUGGAUUAGCUAGUUGGUAGGGUAAAAGCCUACCAAGGCGACGAUCCAUAGCUGGUCUGAGAGGAGGAUCAGCCACACUGGGACUGAGACACGGCCCAGACUCCUACGGGAGGCAGCAGUGGGGAAUAUUGGACGAUGGGCGAAAGCCUGAUCCAGCAAUGCCGCGUGAGUGAUGAAGGCCUUAGGGUUGUAAAGCUCUUUUACCCGGGAUGAUAAUGACAGUACCGGGAGAAUAAGCUCCGGCUAACUACGUG